AAAUGACCCACCACGGGAGCUUUCAGGGGCCAGCUUCCGCAGGGACAGCUCUCUCACCCCAGGGCUCUGCUCCGAGAUCUCCACGUAUUCCACUUUGCUGGAUAGGGUUCAGGCUGGCUGCUGCCCCACCCGAAGACAGAGGAGACUAGAGCAUCAGCCAUCGUCCCAGAUUCCUCUUCAACACCUGAGCAGCCUGUGCUGCUGUGGGAGAUGGACGUGCCGCUGUGGCCACACUCCACGUGGGCAGACAACGGCUCGCUUGGCCAGCCGGAGUGCGUUUUCCCUCCUCCCCAGUCCUAAGAACUGCUGUGGCACCAGGGCUAAAGGGAGUGCGCCUUCAUCCCUGCUGCCAGAUGGGCUGAGUGUGGGGCUGGUACCGUGAACAGCUGGCACAGCAGAAGCUGGAGUAGUACUCGUUGCCACAGAGCUGGGCCUUCAGGAUCAGAUCACAGUUGGCCAGCUCCGGCUGGUCGAUGCACUCCUUGCCGGGGUCCAAGGGCUGGGCGGCAGUGGCUACAGAACACAGGAGACAGAGGUGAGGAAAGUGCACGUUAAGGACUGUCACCUGCCACUUCUUCAGAGGAAUGCAGCACUGGGACCACCACAAACCAGGGCUGCUGUGUAACCGCUGACACCUAAGUGUACACGCAUGGUGAGGGGUUUGCGAUUUCCACCCAUUCUUUGGCCUCACUUUGGCAACGUGUGAUCCUUCCUACUGAUUCCUGGCCUCAGCCCAGCACGCAGUCCCUCCCAGACCCCGCAAAGACUUAUUGACCAGAUGGAUGAUGUCACAUCUGAAGUCGGCCUUUACUCCUGAGACCUGAAGAACUAAGCAACACUGCAUUGGCCUGUGGGCUGAGAGGAAGGGCAAGGCAGAACCUGCUCAAAACUACUCCGUGCCCUCCUCCAUGCCAUGCAGGGUACACCUUUUCCACACCAUAGGAAGGCCCCUCUCACCUGGGGUGAGCACCUUCACCUCGGUGCUGCGGCUGACAGCCUGGCUCCCGCGGUAAGCGCUGCAUGUGUAGGAGCCCUCAUCCCUGGACUGUGAGUUGUGGAUCAGCAGCGUGCCGUCUGGGGACUGGUGGACACGGUGGCCAUCGGCCUGUACCGGCACCCCGUUUCUAGAGGGGAGAAGACAGAAGCAAAUGAGAACAUCUACAAGAACCAACAGCCCCUCCCAAAGGAGACACGGCACAAGAAUGCCAAGGUCACAGUAACGCCAGGAGGGUGAGUUUUGACAAGCACAGCACACCGAGUCAUUGUCGAAGUUUGCUGGCUCUUCAUCUUCACAAAGGUACAUAUCCUGUGUGGGAUGAAGCCACUGAAGGCCCAAGCACUCCCUGCCUCCUGGGAAGUGGGGAGCCAGCUAGCCAGAGUGGUUUUCUGGAACCAAGGGAGUGUUAGAGAGAGUGCAUUACUCCCCAACAGUUCUAGGCUGGGGCCUGAAAUGAGAAGCCAGGGGCUCAAUCCAGGUCUCCCGAGUGAGUGGCAAGGCCCAAAUCCUGGAACCGUCACCUGCCGCUCCCAGAACGCGCAUUCGUAGGAACAGAGCCAGCACUCGUCCAUCCAUGUCAGAAUGUGUCUCCACCCACAUAACCACUAGGCCAAAUUCCUGCCCCGGGAGGGAGCCUUCAAGGCUCCCCUCCCCCAGAGUCCAGCGAUUGAGUCCAGGAGAAUUGCACUGUCCAGAGAAAUGUAUUGUUAGAAUGGGGAGGCUGGGGAGAGAGCUUGCAAUUGAUGCACAGAUGCCCCAGCUGCAGGGUGGAGGACAGUCUCCCACAACCAAACCUGAGCCUCCCCAAAGUACCAGUAGUGCUAAGGUUACGAAACACUGUGUUGGCUGGGUGUUUAGCCAGCAUCUCGGCACUCAGGGCUUUCAUAGCUGGCUUCAGCUCCAAACGCCCAGUCUCUGCUAAUGCAGCCUCAGGGGCAGCUCUGAUGGCCCAGGUGACCGGUUCCUGCCACCCUAGGUAGGAAACCUUGCUCCAGCCCUAACCACUGCAGGCCUCUGGAGAACGAGUGUGUCUGCUGGCUCAUCAAACAUUUCAACAAAUAAAACUCCAGUGCAGCAGCACCCAUGGAAAAGCCAGCAGUCAGCUUCAUUGUUUAGGAAGCGGGGACUGCAGGCCCUAUCAUGGUCACCAGGCCAAGAGGCAGAGGACAGAGACAUCCCCAGCCCAGGUGACCACACAGACCUGGGAGCUUGUGAGGGUCCGAGGGUAGGAAUUGCCGCAAAGAGAGCUUUACCUGGACCACCUGAUGUUCACCCCUUCUCCUGCCACGGCACACUGCAGCCUGGCUGUGUCACCCUCUGGCACUGUGACAGCAGGGGGCAGCUUGGUAAUGGUCAGUUCCCCUGGGCAGAAGAAGCUCUGUCAGCUGCUAUAUACAUCGUGCCGUCCAGGACCUCUUGUGUGACAUCAAAGAACUGCCACCUUACCUUCAACUCUGAGCUGAACCCACCGCUGAUCUCGGUCCUGCCCAUUGAAAGCAACGCACGCGUAGAAGCCGCCAUCUUCCACAGCCACCUGGUUGAUGACCAGGGAGCCAUCGGGCAGCAACUGGUGUCUGGGAAGCAAACAGUCAGUUCAGGGGAGGAUGAGGGAGUCAGAGGGCAGGGCAAGAGCGUCUUCCCAUCCCCAAUGAGGCUGAGUACAACUGCUCAGUGGGGUCAGGCCAGAGGGCUGGUGGGCCUUCAGCUGGCCAACGGCCAGCAGCCUAACACUAAAUCAUUUCCAACUU